rnacentral:rRNA from 1 species
AUUGAACGCUGGCGGAAUGCUUUACACAUGCAAGUCGAACGGCAGCACGGACUUCGGUCUGGUGGCGAGUGGCGAACGGGUGAGUAACAUAUCGGAACGUAUCCAAUAAUGGGGGAUAACGAGUCGAAAGAUUCGCUAAUACCGCAUACGCCCUACGGGGGAAAGCGGGGGACCUUCGGGCCUGGCGUUAAUGGAGCGGCCGAUAUCGGAUUAGCUAGGUGGUGAGGUAAAGGCUCACCAAGGCGACGAUCAGUAGCUGGUCUGAGAGGACGACCAGCCACACUGGAACUGAGACACGGUCCAGACUCCUACGGGAGGCAGCAGUGGGGAAUUUUGGACAAUGGGCGCAAGCCUGAUCCAGCCAUUCCGCGUGAGUGAAGAAGGCCUUCGGGUUGUAAAGCUCUUUCGCAAGGGAAGAAAACUUAGCCACUAACAUUGGUUGAGGUUGACGGUACCUUGAUAAGAAGCACCGGCUAACUACGUGCCAGCCGCCGCGGUAA